rnacentral:rRNA from 1 species
AUGAACGCUGGCGGCGUGCUUAACACAUGCAAGUCGAGCGGAUGAGGGAAGCUUGCUUCCCGAUUUAGCGGCGGACGGGUGAGUAAUGCCUAGGAAUCUGCCUAUUAGUGGGGGAUAACGUUCCGAAAGGAACGCUAAUACCGCAUACGUCCUACGGGAGAAAGUGGGGGAUCUUCGGACCUCACGCUAAUAGAUGAGCCUAGGUCGGAUUAGCUAGUUGGUGAGGUAACGGCUCACCAAGGCGACGAUCCGUAGUUGGUCUGAGAGGAUGAUCAGCCACACUGGAACUGAGACACGGUCCAGACUCGUACGGGAGGCAGCAGUGGGGAAUAUUGGACAAUGGGCGAAAGCCUGAUCCAGCCAUGCCGCGUGUGUGAAGAAGGUCUUCGGAUUGUAAAGCACUUUAAGUUGGGAGGAAGAGUUGUAAGCUAAUAUCUUGCAGCUUUGACGUUACCAACAGAAUAAGCACCGGCUAACUCUGUGCCAGCCGCCGCAGUAACAC